rnacentral:rRNA from 1 species
AGCGGACAGAAGGGAGCUUGCUCCCGGAUGUUAGCGGCGGACGGGUGAGUAACACGUGGGUAACCUGCCUGUAAGACUGGGAUAACUCCGGGAAACCGGAGCUAAUACCGGAUAGUUCCUUGAACCGCAUGGUUCAAGGAUGAAAGACGGUUUCGGCUGUCACUUACAGAUGGACCCGCGGCGCAUUAGCUAGUUGGUGGGGUAAUGGCUCACCAAGGCGACGAUGCGUAGCCGACCUGAGAGGGUGAUCGGCCACACUGGGACUGAGACACGGCCCAGACUCCUACGGGAGGCAGCAGUAGGGAAUCUUCCGCAAUGGACGAAAGUCUGACGGAGCAACGCCGCGUGAGUGAUGAAGGUUUUCGGAUCGUAAAGCUCUGUUGUUAGGGAAGAACAAGUGCGAGAGUAACUGCUCGCACCUUGACGGUACCUAACCAGAAAGCCACGGCUAACUACGUGCCAGCAGCCGCGGUAAUACGUAGGUGGCAAGCGUUGUCCGGAAUUAUUGGGCGUAAAGGGCUCGCAGGCGGUUUCUUAAGUCUGAUGUGAAAGCCCCCGGCUCAACCGGGGAGGGUCAUUGGAAACUGGGAAACUUGAGUGCAGAAGAGGAGAGUGGAAUUCCACGUGUA